rnacentral:rRNA from 1 species
GAUGAACGCUGGCGGCGUGCCUAAUACAUGCAAGUCGAGCGAACAGAUAAGGAGCUUGCUCCUUUGACGUUAGCGGCGGACGGGUGAGUAACACGUGGGUAACUUACCUAUAAGACUGGAAUAACUCCGGGAACCCGGGGCUAAUGCCGGAUAACAUGUUGAACCGCAUGGUUCUACAGUGAAAGGCGGCUUUGCUGUCACUUAUAGAUGGACCCGCGCCGUAUUAGCUAGUUGGUGAGGUAACGGCUCACCAAGGCAACGAUACGUAGCCGACCUGAGAGGGUGAUCGGCCACACUGGAACUGAGACACGGUCCAGACUCCUACGGGAGGCAGCAGUAGGGAAUCUUCCGCAAUGGGCGAAAGCCUGACGGAGCAACGCCGCGUGAGUGAUGAAGGUCUUCGGAUCGUAAAACUCUGUUAUUAGGGAAGAACAAAUGCGUAAGUAACUGUGCGCGUCUUGACGGUACCUAAUCAGAAAGCCACGGCUAACUACGUG